ACGCACGCUGGCGGCGUGCUUAACACAUGCCAGUCGAACGGAAAGGCCCUGCUUUUGUGGGGUGCUCGAGAGGCGAACGGGUGAGUAACACGUGAGUAACCUGCCCUUGACUUUGGGAUAACUUCAGGAAACUGGGGCUAAUACCGGAUAGGAGCUCCUGCUGCAUGGUGGGGGUUGGAAAGUUUCGGCGGUUGGGGAUGGACUCGCGGCUUAUCAGCUUGUUGGUGGGGUAGUGGCUUACCAAGGCUUUGACGGGUAGCCGGCCUGAGAGGGUGACCGGCCACAUUGGGACUGAGAUACGGCCCAGACUCCUACGGGAGGCAGCAGUGGGGAAUAUUGCACAAUGGGCGGAAGCCUGAUGCAGCAACGCCGCGUGCGGGAUGACGGCCUUCGGGUUGUAAACCGCUUUCGCCUGUGACGAAGCGUGAGUGACGGUAAUGGGUAAAGAAGCACCGGCUAACUACGUG
rnacentral:rRNA from 1 species